rnacentral:rRNA from 1 species
GGUUAAGUGACUAAGCGUACACGGUGGAUGCCUUGGCAGUCAGAGGCGAUGAAGGACGUAGUAACUUGCGAUAAGCGUAGAUGAGGCAGUAACAGCCACUUGAGUCUACGAUUUCCGAAUGGGGAAACCCACUGGCAUAAGCCAGUAUCAUUGAGUGAAUACAUAGCUCAAUGAAGCGAACCGGGAGAACUGAAACAUCUAAGUACCCCGAGGAAAAGAAAUCAACCGAGAUUCCGAAAGUAGCGGCGAGCGAAAUUGGAUUAGCCCUUAAGCUUUACAUGUGUUAGACGAACGGUCUGGAAAGUCCGACGAUACAGGGUGAUAGUCCCGUAGUUGUAGAUGCAUGUUCAGUGAAAUCGAGUAGGGCGGGACACGUGUUAUCCUGUCUGAAUAUGGGGGGACCAUCCUCCAAGGCUAAAUACUCCUGACUGACCGAUAGUGAACCAGUACCGUGAGGGAAAGGCGAAAAGAACCCCUGUGAGGGGAGUGAAAUAGAACCUGAAACCGUGUACGUACAAGCAGUAGGAGCACCUUCGUGGUGUGACUGCGUACCUUUUGUAUAAUGGGUCAGCGACUUAUAUUCAGUGGCAAGGUUAACCAUCUAGGGGAGCCGUAGGGAAACCGAGUCUUAACUGGGCGCCAUAGUCUCUGGAUAUAGACCCGAAACCGAGUGAUCUAGCCAUGGGCAGGUUGAAGGUUGAGUAACAUCAACUGGAGGACCGAACCGACUAAUGUUGAAAAAUUAGCGGAUGACUUGUGGCUAGGGGUGAAAGGCCAAUCAAACUCGGAGAUAGCUGGUUCUCCCCGAAAGCUAUUUAGGUAGCGCCUCGGACGAAUACUACUGGGGGUAGAGCACUGUUAAGGCUAGGGGGUCAUCCCGACUUACCAACCCUUUGCAAACUCCGAAUACCAGUAAGUACUAUCCGGGAGACACACGGCGGGUGCUAACGUCCGUCGUGGAGAGGGAAACAACCCAGACCGCCAGCUAAGGUCCCAAAUUACAGCUAAGUGGGAAACGAUGUGGGAAGGCUUAGACAGCUAGGAUGUUGGCUUAGAAGCAGCCAUCAUUUAAAGAAAGCGUAAUAGCUCACUAGUCGAGUCGGCCUGCGCGGAAGAUGUAACGGGGCUAAGUUGUAAACCGAAGCUGCGGCAAUGUUCUUUGAACAUUGGGUAGGGGAGCGUUCUGUAAGCCGUUGAAGGUGUGUUGUAAAGCAUGCUGGAGGUAUCAGAAGUGCGAAUGCUGACAUGAGUAACGACAAGGGGGGUGAAAAACCUCCCCGCCGGAAGACCAAGGGUUCCUGUCCAACGUUAAUCGGGGCAGGGUAAGUCGACCCCUAAGGCGAGGCCGAAAGGCGUAGUCGAUGGGAAACGGGUUAAUAUUCCCGUACUUCUUACAAUUGCGAUGGGGGGACGGAGAAGGCUAGGUGGGCCUGGCGACGGUUGUCCAGGUUCAAGUGCGUAGGCUGAGUGUUUAGGUAAAUCCGGACACUCUUAAGGCUGAGACACGACGUCGAGCUACUACGGUAGUGAAGUCAUUGAUGCCAUGCUUCCAGGAAAAGCCUCUAAGCUUCAGAUUGUAAGGAAUCGUACCCCAAACCGACACAGGUGGUCGGGUAGAGAAUACCAAGGCGCUUGAGAGAACUCGGGUGAAGGAACUAGGCAAAAUGGUACCGUAACUUCGGGAGAAGGUACGCUCUUGAUGGUGAAGUCCCUUGCGGAUGGAGCUGACGAGAGUCGCAGAUACCAGGUGGCUGCAACUGUUUAUUAAAAACACAGCACUGUGCAAAAUCGUAAGAUGACGUAUACGGUGUGACGCCUGCCCGGUGCCGGAAGGUUAAUUGAUGGGGUUAGCGUAAGCGAAGCUCUUGAUCGAAGCCCCGGUAAACGGCGGCCGUAACUAUAACGGUCCUAAGGUAGCGAAAUUCCUUGUCGGGUAAGUUCCGACCUGCACGAAUGGCGUAAUGAUGGCCACGCUGUCUCCACCCGAGACUCAGUGAAAUUGAAAUCGCUGUGAAGAUGCAGUGUACCCGCGGCUAGACGGAAAGACCCCGUGAACCUUUACUACAGCUUGGCACUGAACAUUGAACCUACAUGUGUAGGAUAGGUGGGAGGCUUUGAAGACGUGACGCCAGUUGCGUUGGAGCCGUCCUUGAAAUACCACCCUUGUAUGUUUGAUGUUCUAA